UCUGAGGUCCGGCGUUAGCCGGCAUCUCAGA
rfam:Oesophagostomum dentatum strain OD-Hann O_dentatum-1.0_Cont36532.1, whole genome shotgun sequence.